rnacentral:rRNA from 1 species
GACGAACGCUGGCGGCGUGCCUAAUACAUGCAAGUCGAACGAGAGCAACCGGUGCUUGCACUGGUCAAUCUAGUGGCGAACGGGUGAGUAACACGUGGGUAACCUGCCCAUCAGAGGGGGAUAACAUCCGGAAACGGAUGCUAAAACCGCAUAGGUCUUCGAACCGCAUGGUUUGAAGAGGAAAAGAGGCGCAAGCUUCUGCUGAUGGAUGGACCCGCGGUGCAUUAGCUAGUUGGUGAGGUAACGGCUCACCAAGGCCAUGAUGCAUAGCCGACCUGAGAGGGUGAUCGGCCACAUUGGGACUGAGACACGGCCCAGACUCCUACGGGAGGCAGCAGUAGGGAAUCUUCCGCAAUGGACGCAAGUCUGACGGAGCAACGCCGCGUGAGUGAAGAAGGUUUUCGGAUCGUAAAACUCUGUUGUUAGAGAAGAACAAGUGCUAGAGUAACUGUUAGCGCCUUGACGGUAGCUAACCAGAAAGCCACGGCUAACUACGUG